AUUGAACGCUGGCGGCAGGCCUAACACAUGCAAGUCGAACGAGUGGCGGACGGGUGAGUAAUGUCUGGGAAACUGCCUGCUGGAGGGGGAUAACUACUGGAAACGGUCGCUAAUACCGCAUACCAUCGGAUGUGCCCAGAUGGGAUUAGCUAGUAGGUGGGGUAAAGGCUCACCUAGUCGACGAUGCCUAGCUGGUCUGCGAGGAUGACCAGCCACACUGAAAUGUAGACACGGUCCAGACUCCUACGGGAGGCAGCGGUGGGGAAUAGUGCACAAUGGGCGCAAGCCUGAUGCAGCCAUGCCGCGUGUAUGAAGAAGGCCUUCGGGUUGUAAAGUACUUUCAGUGUGGAGGCGUGACCCGCAGAAGAAGCACCGGCUAACGCCGUGCCAGCAGCCGCGGUAAUAC
rnacentral:rRNA from 1 species